rnacentral:rRNA from 1 species
GUCCAGACUCCUACGGGAGGCAGCAGUGGGGAAUAUUGCACAAUGGGGGAAACCCUGAUGCAGCGACGCCGCGUGAGUGAAGAAGUCAUUCGUUAUGUAAAGCUCUAUCAGCAGGGAAGAAAAUGACGGUACCUGAGUAAGAAGCCCCGGCUAACUACGUGCCAGCAGCCGCGGUAAUACGUAGGGGGCAAGCGUUAUCCGGAUUUACUGGGUGUAAAGGGGGCGCAGACGGCGAUGCAAGCCAGGAGUGAAAGCCCGGGGCCCAACCCCGGGACUGCUCUUGGAACUGCGUGGCUGGAGUGCAGGAGGGGCAGGCGGAAUUCCUGGUGUAGCGGUGAAAUGCGUAGAUAUCAGGAGGAACACCGGCGGCGAAGGCGGCCUGCUGGACCGUGACUGACGUUGAGGCUCGAGAGCGUGGGUAGCAAACAGGAUUAGAUACCCGAGUAGG